rnacentral:rRNA from 1 species
UACAGAGGGUGCGAGCGUUGUCCGGAAUCACUGGGCGUAAAGGGCGCGUAGGCGGCCUGAUAAGUAGGGGGUGAAAUCCUGUGGCUUAACUGCAGGGCUGCCUCCUAGACUGUUAGGCUCGAGCACGGUAGAGGCAGAUGGAAUUCCCGGUGUAGCGGUGGAAUGCGUAGAGAUCGGGAAGAACAUCGGUGGCGAAGGCGGUCUGCUGGGCCGUUGCUGACGCUGAGGCGCGACAGCGUGGGAGCAAACAGG